CGGCGGACGGGUGAGUAACACGUGGGUAACCUACCUAUAAGACUGGGACAACUUCGGGAAACCGGAGCUAAUACCGGAUAAGAUAUCGAACCGCAUGGUUCGAUAGUGAAAGAUGGUUUUGCUAUCACUUAUAGAUGGACCCGCGCCGUAUUAGCUAGUUGGUAGGGUAACGGCCUACCAAGGCGAUGAUGCAUAGCCGAGUUGAGAGACUGAUCGGCCACAUUGGGACUGAGACACGGCCCAAACUCCUACGGGAGGCAGCAGGG
rnacentral:rRNA from 1 species